rnacentral:siRNA from 1 species
UGGUUGCUGCUUUGUUGUACAUGC